AACCUGCCCUUGACUCUGGGAUAAGCACUGGAAACGGUGUCUAAUACCGGAUACGAGCUUCAGCCGCAUGGCUAGGAGUUGGAAAGAAUUUCGGUCAAGGAUGGACUCGCGGCCUAUCAGCUAGUUGGUGAGGUAAUGGCCCACCAAGCCGACGAUCUGUAGCUGGUCUGAGAGGAUGAUCAGCCACACUGGGACUGAGACACGGCCCAGACUCCUACGGGAGGCAGCAGUGGGGAAUAUUGGACAAUGGGCGAAAGCCUGAUCCAGCAAUGCCGCGUGAGU
rnacentral:rRNA from 1 species